UCUUAAUUUUUUUUUUUUUAAUUCCACUUAGGGUGGUGGGGAUCCACUAGAGGGGGGAAGUUUUCCCUUGCCAGUGUAAAGGAUGGAGGGAGAGAAGUGCAUCCAUUGUUGAUUGGUGCUAGCUAGAUGUAAUUACGAUUUCGAUUUAGCUGUUCAAGUCAGUAACAAUUAGCUUGUUAUCUAAUUUUCUUUGUUCAAAACAGUUGUUUAGCGUUUCCUAAGCGUUCCUUUGUUGAUAACUAAUUUUCACAAGAACUAAAUGUUUCUAUACCCAAAGCCAGAGAAGAAAAUUUUUGGAAAAAAAGAAAAACAAUGGCAGGGGACGACAGAAGGUAGAAAUCUGAUGAACAUAAGGUUUUGGUCAUUGGAUUAUUGAUAUAGAUUCUGAUUACGAUGUUGCUUAGAGCCAAGCGAAUAUGUACCAGUCUCCCUUCUUUAGCAAGAGGAAAUACCUCCCUUUUCCAUUACCCUCUCGCAGUGAUCGGUGGCCAUCCCAGCCCUUAAGGGUUUGGAAGGCUCUUUACCAGCUGGGAGGAUGGAUUCUUCCCUCUCUUAACUCGGCUUGGGUAUGAAUAGGUUUUUGGUGAGUUUAGUUUGUUGUGGAUUGCAGGUCUAGCGCUCAAAAUGUGAGAGAUUUACGCAGAUUUGCUUGGUGAAGUUUCUACUAGUUUCUUCCUUGGGUUCUCUCGUCGGAUGACAAUCUCAAAGGCUAAAGGAGACUGAGAAGCCGAGUUUCUACCAUGCCUGUUCUCGGUUUGUCCUACAUCUCCACAGUUCCUUCCUCGAUUGAAGCAGUUGUUACGUAGCUUGCAUACCUCUGUUUCUCUCUGUUUGGGGUUGUUCUUCAUGGCUAAGCGACUCAAUAAGCCGUUACUUUGGUGAUGCCGGUGUUGUGUUUUUUUGAGUGAUCCAUGGCCCCGAUGGCGGUUGUGCAGUGCUGAGUUGGUCUCCCUAUGGGCAGCGGUGGUGUCGGUGUUGGAGUUUACUGGAAUGUGGGUUUUGGAUCUAAAUCCGGCGGUUGGUCUUUGAUUGUCCUUGUAUGUGUGGGCUUCUGGCCUUGUUUCUUUCUGGGCUUGAUAUAAGUAAUUUAACCAGGUGUUUUGAUUAGUGGGCUUUGAACCUGAGUCUUUGUGUCACCUAUUUAUCAUCAAAAUGAUAAUUCCAAUUUAGGGGACUACGUACCAGACGCCCAGGUCAUGGUCCAUACUUAACUUGUCCAGCAAUGAAAAAGAAAAGGAUCCUUUUUCGCCAGCCUGGGCUUUAAAACUCGUGUUGGCUUGCAAUUGCGUGCGUAACGCAACAUGUAUGAUAAUAAAAAAUCUUUCUGCUUCUAUCUUCCUUCCUCUCCCAUGAUUUAUCCAAACAGAAUGUAAAGAGCCAUUGAAU
rnacentral:misc_RNA from 1 species